AAUACAUAGGUUAACAGAGCAAACCGGGGGAACUGAAACAUCUAAGUACCCCGAGGAGAAGAAAUCAACCGAGAUUCCGGUAGUAGCGGCGAGCGAACCUGGAUUAGCCCUUAAGCACUCGGUGAAGUAGGUGAACAAGCUGGAAAGCUUGGCGAUACAGGGUGAUAGCCCCGUAACCGACGCUUCAUCGAGCGUGAAAUCGAGUAGGGCGGGACACGUGAUAUCCUGUCUGAAUAUGGGGGGACCAUCCUCCAAGGCUAAAUACUCCUGACUGACCGAUAGUGAACCAGUACCGUGAGGGAAAGGCGAAAAGAACCCCUGUGAGGGGAGUGAAAUAGAACCUGAAACCGUGUACGUACAAGCAGUAGGAGCACCUUCGUGGUGUGACUGCGUACCUUUUGUAUAAUGGGUCAGCGACUUAUAUUCAGUGGCAAGGUUAACCGUAUAGGGGAGCCGUAGCGAAAGCGAGUCUUAACUGGGCGCUCAGUCUCUGGAUAUAGACCCGAAACCGGGUGAUCUAGCCAUGGGCAGGUUGAAGGUUGAGUAACAUCAACUGGAGGACCGAACCGACUAAUGUUGAAAAAUUAGCGGAUGACUUGUGGCUAGGGGUGAAAGGCCAAUCAAACUCGGAGAUAGCUGGUUCUCCCCGAAAGCUAUUUAGGUAGCGCCUCGGACGAAUACUACUGGGGGUAGAGCACUGUUAAGGCUAGGGGGUCAUCCCGACUUACCAACCCUUUGCAAACUCCGAAUACCAGUAAGUACUAUCCGGGAGACACACGGCGGGUGCUAACGUCCGUCGUGGAGAGGGAAACAACCCAGACCGCCAGCUAAGGUCCCAAAGUAUUGCUAAGUGGGAAACGAUGUGGGAAGGCUCAGACAGCUAGGAUGUUGGCUUAGAAGCAGCCAUCAUUUAAAGAAAGCGUAAUAGCUCACUAGUCGAGUCGGCCUGCGCGGAAGAUGUAACGGGGCUAAGCAAUACACCGAAGCUGCGGCAAUGUCUUUUAGACAUUGGGUAGGGGAGCGUUCUGUAAGCCGUUGAAGGUGUGUGGUAACGCAUGCUGGAGGUAUCAGAAGUGCGAAUGCUGACAUGAGUAACGACAAAGGGGGUGAAAAACCUCCUCGCCGGAAGACCAAGGGUUCCUGUCCAACGUUAAUCGGGGCAGGGUGAGUCGACCCCUAAGGUGAGGCCGAAAGGCGUAAUCGAUGGGAAACGGGUUAAUAUUCCCGUACUUCUGACUAUUGCGAUGGGGGGACGGAGAAGGCUAGGUGGGCCAGGCGACGGUUGUCCUGGUUCAAGUGCGUAGGCUUGAGAGUUAGGUAAAUCCGGCUCUCU
rnacentral:rRNA from 1 species